GCGACCUAUGCGAGCGGUGGUGCUCGCAAGGGCUAACCAAGGGAAUGCGGUGCGUCUGCCUGGCAGACAAUUCCGUGGCUGCCCCCGCAACUGUAGGCGGAUAGCCGAGGACCAUAAAUGCCACUGGGGAUGCAGAUGCUCCCUGGGAAGGUGGUCCAAGGCGACGAUCCGCGAGCCAGGAAACCUGCUGCCGGUCAUGGUCAUGC
rnacentral:ncRNA from 2 species